UGGCGGACGGGUGAGUAACGCGUAAAGAACUUGCCCUUUAGACUGGGAUAACAGAGGGAAACUUCUGAUAAUACUGGAUAAGUUAGUAUAUCGCAUGAUAUGCAAAUGAAAGCUACGGCACUAAAGGAGAGCUUUGCGUCCUAUUAGCUAGUUGGUAGGGUAAGAGCUUACCAAGGCGAUGAUAGGUAGCCGGCCUGAGAGGGUGGACGGCCACAAGGGGACUGAGAUACGGCCCUUACUCCUACGGGAGGCAGCAGUG
rnacentral:rRNA from 1 species